UACAGAGGUGGCAAGCGUUGUUCGGAAUUACUGGGCGUAAAGGGCGCGUAGGCGGCCUACUAAGUCAGACGUGAAAUCCCCAGGCUUAACUUGGGAACUGCGUCUGAUACUGGGAGGCUUGAGUGCGGGAGAGGGAUGUGGAAUUCCAGGUGUAGCGGUGAAAUGCGUAGAUAUCUGGAGGAACACCGGUGGCGAAGGCGGCAUCCUGGACCGACACUGACGCUGAGGCGCGAAAGCUAGGGGAGCGAACAGG
rnacentral:rRNA from 1 species